AAACGAGGGAGAUGGGGCGCACUGCAUGUCAGAAUUGCAUGGAAGAUUUAUUACCACGAACAACUCAAGAAAAAGCAGCAAACCACCUACAGUGUCCAUCGUGAACUGACACCUGAGUAUCCUGCCACCAGCAUACCUGACACAGUACAGCACAAGGAAUCAGACCAGCCCUCCUGCCUACACACAAAUAUCGUCUCUCCAUAUGGACACUCUGCUUAUGGAAACACUGAGGACAGGAGUGAAACAGGAAAAACAGCAGAACAUUUGAGCCACUUCAACAGAGGUUAUCCCUCCCACCUUUACACUUCUUCAUCGCCGUCUUCCCACAGCCAAACGACCAAGAGGGAGAAACUGGAACAGCCCCCGAAGCUGCACCGGAAAGAGAAAGUCGAUGAGAAGACGAAACACAGGAGCCAAC
rnacentral:lncRNA from 1 species